GCUACAGUGCUACUGGCCCAUAAUCAGGCAACUGCAGAGUCUUAGGGGGUUAUCUAAUGUAGUCUUGGGGUGGCUGGAUAGACUUCCCAAAGAAGGUGAUGCCGAAGCUGAGGUCGGAAAUUACGAAGAUCAGCUAUCAAACUUGGAAAUCAUGUCUUAGAGAUCAAGGAGCCAAGAGAUGAGACAAGCCUGGGUUCCUAGGUGAUAGGGUGUGGCUGUGUCCCCACCCAAAUCUCAUCUUGAAUUGUAGCUCCCAUAAUCCCCACAUGUUGUGGAGGGACCCUGUGGAAGAUCUUUAAUAAAUGAAAUAAAUGUGACUGUAUGUCCUACAUCCCAUUCCUGUUGUCUUCCAUGUCUCCUCAGAGGAUAAGUCAAUUGAGCUUCACUUCUCUAAUUGAAAUCACCGUGCUGAUGGAGUCUGUCUGUGGAAAUGAAAGGUGGCUACCAUAAUCUGUUGGGAGUUGAAUUAAUCCUCUGGGAGUGAGGCUGACCUAAUUACUCAGAAAUACUGGGCUUGCUUUCAUUCUGUGGAAUACAGCCAUGAGAAAGAGGCCAGCAUGCCAUUUCCUAAUCUUUUCUUGAAUUGCCUGAAACUCACCUAACAUGAAACUGAGAAGCCUUUUCAUUUGAAAGUGGUAUUUCUUAUGUUUUUUAUCUUUUUGCUUGAAAGUAUUCUUAAACUAAAGAAAGGAGAAACAGAAAAGGUGAAGAAGCCAAGAGGCUGGAGUUUCCUUUUGAAUGGAUAUUCAUCCAUGAAGCUGUUGAUUCUGUUUUUCUGUUCCUCCAGAUGUCUACACUUUUACCUCUGCUUGCCUGAUACAACCACCACCAGUCACCUCACAGAAUAACUCACUCCUUAAGAAUCUGAUCAGGAAUCAGCCUUCCCUGAUCACAAACACUGAGUUUAGAAGUCCCUCCACAGUGUCCCCCGUAACCCUGUGCUACCUCACUGCCUCAUAGUUUAGUGCCGUUUGUGUACAUGCCUAUCUUCGUCCAUGGAUCCAGAACAACUUGUAAAAAUGACUGUACUUAUCACCUUCAGUAUUCAAUGACUAAACUAUAAUUUUAACAUAUCUGGCAGAAUGAAUCACUUGGGGAUUUCUGCCAACACUACCAAUAUAUUACUCCUAAUUUGUAAUUAUUACUUAGCAUGGAUUAUAGUACCGGCUGUUGGAGAGCCAAUGUGGCAGACCCUAAGUGGAAUAAAAUGUCAGUAGCAGUCUAGGAGCAUAUAUUUAUUGGAAUAGAUCAUUCAUUCAUUUGUUCAUUAACUAAUUUGUUCAUUAAAUAAACAUUUAUUAAGCA
rnacentral:sRNA from 1 species